AUGAACGAUGACAGCAUACAACAGACAGGAAAACAGAUAUCUAGUCCCUCUUACAUUAAAUACCAACAUAUGUUGCUUGCUUGUUACACACAAGCAAUUAGAGGGGAAAAAAACUAUAAAAAAAAAAAAUCAUUCGAAUACCUGCAAAUCAGGAGGGGCGAGAGAAAGUAUCUAACUCAGGUCUUCAAACUUCAAAAAAAAAUGCGGUUUCACUUCAAGUAA